GCGCCUAUUUUCUGUUUUCUGUUCUCUGUUUUCUGUUACUGGCCUGAUCUGAUUCUCGGAGGGAAGGCUGGAUGCAGCUUAACUUCCCCCUGGCUGGUGUCUGGUGGAGACGUCCCAGCCCCAUCUGGGUCUCCGGACCGUCUGGGUUGGGCUUGAUCACCCCAACCAUUCGUUCUAUGUUCAGUGCUCUGUGUGCCCUGUUAAACGUGUCCUGUUAGCCUAUCUUUAUCUCUGGUGUGGCCCACUGUUUAACCUCCGUCAUGGGUCAGUCUUCGUCCGAGCCUUGCUCCCCCCUUAAAUGCAUGCUAAAUAACUUCUCUGGUUUCAAAAAAAGAGGAAAGAACUAUGGCUUUAACCUAAAGCCUUCCUGGCUGCGGACAUGUUGCCCCCUGGACUGGCCGAUGCUCUCUGGGGUUGACUGGCCCCCAGAGGGCUCCUAGAAUCUUAACCUUGCUUAUGCCGUCCGCAGGAUUUGUCAUGAUGUUCAUCUCGACCAGAAGCCAUAUGCUGUGACUUGGGUCGACCUCCUAAAUGACCCACCUUCCUGUACGAGAAAGUGCCAGAAACAGGGCCAAAAGCUGUCAUCUGGCAUCUCCCUUCCCCACUCCCCUUCCUGUUCUCCUCCAAACUCCCGAACCCUUGCUUCCUUCACUCAACCUUCAAAGAAGCUUUACCCAGUGCUUCAGGAGAUACCCGAAGGGAGGGACUUGUUAUCCGAUUCUCAGAGACCACCUCCUUAGCCCCAGACCCCACUAGCUCCCCAGGAACCAAAAGCCGCAGGAGAUCCUUUGACUAGUCCCCCACAUACCAGAUCAGGAGCCCUCUAGAGAGGAGAACACCAGUCCUCUGAUGCCCCAGUUCCCAUCCUUCCUCUUAGGCAAACGGCUCCGGCUCCCGGUCCAGACAGGCAGCCAACACGCCCGAUGGUUGUCUACACUCCUUUCUCCACCUCGGACCUCUACAACUGGAAAACUCAGAACCCGCCUUUCUCUGAAACCCCCAGGGCCUAAUUGACUUAUUGCGCUCUAUUUUCCCCACGCACUUACCUACUUGGGAAGAUUGUCACCAACUCUUGCAGGUCUUACUGACUUCAAGGAAAGGGCCCGAGUGCCCCGGGAAGCCACGAGAGCAGUCCUUGGCCCGGAUGGAAUGCCUACCACAGACCUUCACGGAAUUGAGCACGUUUUCCCUUCCGCGCCGCCCCAGUGGGACCCUAACACGGAUAACGGAAUUAUCAAGCAGAGCCUGAGUCAGAUCGGACCACGACUAGAGGAAAGAGAAAGACAAAGACAAAUUCACCAAAAUUGGUAUGAGUCUGUAUUUUCCUGGUCCCCUUGGCUAACGACUCUCCUGAGUGCCCUUACGGGACCCCUUAUCUUCCUCUUUCUAGCUAUAACUAUAGGACCCUGUUUGAUAAAACUACUACUUCAGUUCGUAAAUUGAAAAAUAGGAACUAUAAAGCUUAUGGUGUCACGUAGCCAAUAGGUCCCAUUACCCCAGAUGCCAAAAUAAGGUUAUUCAAAGGUUUGAAUAACUAACAAACAGGAGUGGGGAAUGUAAUAGGUCAACUUAUAAGAUAUCAGAAAGCUUAUUGUAUAUCAGUUCGGCUUAAACUCACCUUUCAUGAAUAAUUGAGAUAAAAGCUUAUGUAGUUCCCUAACACGGAAAUUAACCGCCCUGUCUCGCUUCUGUAACUUUGCCUGCUUGGGAAAUAGAUACCUUAGGCUGCAAAACGCUCCCCCACCCCUUUGACCAAGAUCUGGCCUAGGCAAGACCAACAUGUAAAAAGUCACCAACUCACUGCCCCACGGUAUCUUAGGUGUCUAACUACAGUUGGUCAUUUUAAACCCUCUUAGGACAAAGAACUUUAAAUUGAUAGGUUCCCACCAAAACUAAGGUCUGUGUGUCACAAUAGAAUUGGCUACCAUGAAAUGCUGUAAAUUGCAAUUGGGUAACUAAAUAAUGACCUAUUCUGACUUGCUAAAAUCCAUAUAAGCUCACUGCUACCUUUGUUCGGGGCCAUUCUCUACACUUUUCUCCUUAAGAUCAGGAGAUCAGGUUUGGCCCGGCCGUGAAUAAAAUCUUGCCUCGCUUCUAUUCGGUAGAUCUGAAGAGCACACGCCU